CCCCCUGCCGCAGCCCCCCCACCCGGGGGUGCUCCCGCACCCGGGGGUGCUCCCCUCGCUCCCCCCCGGGCUGGACAAGAAGGCGGCCAAGAAGAUGAAGAAGAGGAUGAAGAAGGCUCACAAGAGGCACAAGCGCUCUUCGUCCUCGUCCUCCUCCUCCUCGUCCAGCAGCUCCGACUGAGGCACCCCCAGGACCCCCCAGAAUCACCUGGGACCCGCCAGGACCUCCUGGAACCUCUGGGACCACCAGGAACCGCCUGGGACCACUUGGGGACCCCCAUCCUGUCCCCAUGUCCCCCAUCCCCUGCUGCCGAGGGGGUUCCGGGCUGUCCCCGCUGUCCCCCAAUAAAGCUCUGGGACACCCCAA